UCCAUCGUGGGAUCACUUCAUGUCGUUUCGUGAGGCCACAACCGCCGCCCUCCAAUUUCAUCACUUUUUUGUGUUUGUCUUCUGAAAAAAUUGGCCAUCGUUGCAGGCCGGCUUCACCAGAUUAUUCAGUUCAGCUCUAAACAAAUGAGCAUUAUACUUUGUUGUCCAAAGUUUUGGGAAGGUAGAAAUUGUUCCAGAAGGUGAAAAAUAUGUCCAAGUAUAUCAGCAGCUUUGGGAAGGUAGAAAUUGUUCCAGAAGGUGAAAAAUAUGUCCAAGUAUUUUUUUCUAGAACACCGACACUCUCUGGACAUCAUUG
rnacentral:lncRNA from 1 species